CCUAUAGCGUAUAUUAAAGUUGUUGCAGUUAAAAAGCUCGUAGUUGAAUUUCGGGGUUAGUAGGUUGGUCAUGCCUCUGGUAUGUACUGGUCUCACUGAUUCCUCCUUCCUGAUGAACCUUAAUGCCAUUAAUUUGGGGUUUUGGGGAAUUUGGACUGUUACUUUGAAAAAAUUAGAGGGUUUAAAGCAAGCUAACGCUUGAAUAAAUUAGCAUGGAAUAAUGAAAUAGGACGUUCGAUCCUAUUUUGUUGGUUUCUAGGAUUGACGUAAUGAUUAAUAGGGAUAGUUGGGGGCAUUAGUAUUCAAUUGUCAGAGGUGAAAUUCUUGGAUUUAUUGAAGACUAACUACUGCGAAAGCAUUUGCCAAGGAUGUUUUCAUUAAUCAAGAACGAAAGUUAGGGGAUCGAAGACGAUCAGAUACCGUCGUAGUCUUAACCAUAAACUAUGCCGACUAGGGAUCGGAUGAUGUUAAUUUUUUAAUGACUCAUUCGGCGCCUUACG
rnacentral:misc_RNA from 1 species